rnacentral:rRNA from 1 species
AUGGAAAAAAUUGAUGCUUGGGAAGAGAAAGAAAUAUAUGGAGAAGAAUUGGGUGAGAAGAAUGAGAUGGAAUCUGAAAUACCCCAGGAUAACACACCAGAAGAUACUUAUGGAGAACCUGUGGACUAUUUAGCUAGUCAAGAUUCUGUGGAAUCACUAGGCACAAAACUGGGGAUUCACAAGAAGGAGGAAGGAGACAAGGAUAAAGACAAGGAUGGACCCACUAGAAGAAGUGAUAGAAACCUGGACAAAAAAGAUGCUAAAAUAGAAGAUCUAGCCAAGGAAAGGGCAGCUGAAAAGAAUAAUUAUGGUAGAACCCUGUUCUUUCUGAUGAAAAUAUUUCUUUAUAUGAUAUGGCUAAUAGGGUUGGAAUUGAUUUGGGAUGUGCUCUUGAUAUGGUUACCCACAAUCUAG